rnacentral:lncRNA from 1 species
AGAAAGGUCAGCCAGAGAAUGUGACGAUGAGGCCAAGUGACACAAGCAGUAAGUGACAUGAAACCUAACUUCCUCAACCUAGCUCAAAGGAGGGCCACACAACGCUGUGCAACAGCUCCCGUGUCUCCAAGGACCCAGCGUCUUUUUACAGUUCCGUUCUUCCAUUCUUAACCAGCCUGGAGCAGAUAGAUGGCAUUGGGAUUGUACCUCACGCCAACCACAGUGUGAUUCAGCCUUAGAAUGAGAGAGUUGUAGCUUUUGCAUGAGAGAGCAAGUGUACAAGUUACCACCGCAGCAUCCGGCACAUAGCAGUUGCUCAACAAAUACCAUCAGCCUUAAGGGUCAUGUUUCCAAUUUCAGGGGGGGUAAAGAAUAUUAUGUCUUAGAAAACUCAGGAAAAUGUCUAUUCAUUUAUCUGUUCAUUCAACAAGAAUUUAUUGAGUGCCUACACAUACUUUAUAUGUGUAUGUGUGUGUGUGUGUGUGCAUACAAAUAUACAGAACAUCCAAAUCCUGGUCAGGAGGAGGCAUGGGUGAAUGGAAUGAGCCCUGCAUCUGGAAGUGUGGAUCCCAAUGGAAGAGGCCUGCAUGUGCAUCAGCAGGUGCAGCCCAGGCAAAGGCUGAUAAAGCUGCAACAAGGAUGAACCAAGCAGAGUGAGAGCAUGGGAGAAGUAUGCAUGGCUUUCUGGGGAGAAGGCCAUUGAGUUGAAUCUGGAGUAGCUCCCCUUCCACAAGUGGAGAUCUGGGAAGGCAACCACCCUAAUUAGAGGAGAGAGCAGGAAAAUACAGGGAAAUUUCAAGAGACCAAAAAUAAUUUGUUUUACAUGUGGUACAUAUCCAACAUGGAAUACUACACAGCCAUAAAAAAGAAUAGAAUUGUGUCUUUUGCAGCAACAUGGAUGCAGCUGGAAGCCAUUCUCCUCAGCAAAUUAACACAGGAACGAAAACCAAAUACCACAUGCUCUCACUUAAAAGUGGGAGCUAAACACUGACUACACAUGGACACAAAGAUAACAAAAAUAGAAACUGGGGACUACAAGAAGGAGAAGACUACAAGGGGCAAAGGUUGAAAAACCACCUGUUGGGUACCAUGCUCACUGUUUGGGUGGUAGGUUCAAUAGAAGCCCAAACCUCGGCAUCACACAAUAUCCCCAUGUAACAACCUGCACGUGUACCCCCUGAUUCUAAAAUAGUUGAAAAUUUUUUAAAGGUUGAAAAAUUAAGGAUAAAUAAAUAAUUGAUGAAAAUUUUUUAAAAAUUUAUUUUGGGCCAGACACGGUGGCUCACGCCU